AAUGAGCAAUGACAGACGAAAGUUUAAUCAUAACGCCAUCAAGCUCAAAGCUCUGCGAGCAAGGAUUGAGCACAACAUGAAAAGACACGAGUUCAGAGAUUUUUUUUUUAUGCGCUUGGUGAAGAGGUGGGACUUCAGUGCUCUUUUGAAGAGAGUUCGUGUCUUGGCUGUUUUCAAGUCAUGUUAAGUUCAUUGCACCACCUGUGUCUGAGAUGAGUCAUGUCGAACCACGCUGGAAGCGUUAGAUGAACACGGUGGAGGGGACAUGAAAAUGGCUUCAGUUACAUGGAGUCAACAGGAAAUCUUUUGCUGGAGAGGGUGGAGACCUCGAUUGGCUAUGGUAGCCUGCAGGGAAUCGGCUGUCAGACAUUCUGUCGCAUGUCCCAGACCUGGUGAAAUGUAACUGAAUUGUCUUGGCCAGCCCUAAGGGUCCCAUCUGCAUCUCAUCAUUGCUGAGGAGUGUGCUCCCAUCACCCAAUCAAGCAUCCAGCCAGAGCAGGUCAUGAUAUUUUUUAACCAUAUUAACAUGCCAUUGUUGUGUAUUAUGCCUGAUGUCAAGACUCUCAUCUCUGUGAGCCUACCACACAGAUUUAAUACUUGUGUCAUUUUUAGGGCAUACCUAACAACCUGUGUUUUCUCCCCCCCCCCCCCCCCCAAUCUGUCCCUCUGAGUUACAUGUUGGUCCUGGGAUUGAGAUGCUGGCCUCUUCUGCCCCUCAGACCUGCUUGAUCCAUCCUGGUGCCCUGUGUCUGGUCGGAGUUUUAUCGCAUCGCUCCUGUGAAGGACGGCCCCAUGAGGACAGUUGAGGGUUACACCUGGAGGAUGCUCUGGACUCUUACAGUAAUGCUUUUAUGGCUGAGGACUACAGUUGACUUGCUAACUUUAGGACUGCAGUUGUCAUGAACAGUUUUGCACUCAAGUUUCCAGCAAUGAAGAGUUAUAACAUCAAUGAAACUGUCUUAAUGUUAAAACUGUUAAUAUUAUAGUCAUGCUGUCUAUUGUUGCCCAAAUGAGGAUGGGUUCCCUUUUGAGUCUGGUUCCUCUCGAGGUUUCUUCCUCAUGUCGUCUGAGGGAGUUUUUCCUUGCCACCGUCGCCACAGGCUUGCUCAUUGGGGAUAGAUUAGGGACAAAAUUAGCUCAUGUUUUUAGUCAUCGAAAUUCUAUAAAGCUGCUUUGCGACAAUGUUUAUUGUUAAAAUGCGCUAUACAAAUAAACUUGACUUGACUUAA